AAUCUUAAACGAGCGAUCAAUUAAGUAGCAUGUCUCAGGCACAAAUUCUAACAGCAGUCAUAUCAGAUAUUCAGAUCAGAGAUCGGAACGAAAUGGUUUCUUGCCCCUCUUGAUAAUUUACACGCAUGGCACAUUCAUCGGACCCUCACACACACAUUGUUUCCGGGUAAGAUCAAACGCAGCAGCAGCCUCUCACAGGCUGGGCGUCCUCUCGGCGGCGCCGGAGAUGACGGUGAGCAGGUUGUUGCCGAAGGGGUCGCUGAGGUGCUUGGCGAGGUUCUCGACGGGGCCCUCGCCGGUGACGUACGCCUGGAUGAAGAAGGCGAACAUGGAGAACAUGGCGAGCCGGCCGUUCUUGAUCUCCUUCACCUUGAGGAUGGCGGCCUGGUCGGGGUCGCUGGCCAGACCCAAUGGGUCGAACGGGCCGCCCGGGUGGAGCUUGUCCUCCAGGUCCAGCCCGUUGAUGAUCCGGUAGUACUCGGCGCCGCCGACGAGGACGACCUCGGCGAUGACGGCAACCACCAGGUUGAUGGGGAUGCUGUUGCCGAAGUAGCUGAGGGUGUUGCCGUCCAGGAGCAGGGCGCCGGUCUGCAUUGUAUUACGGUGGCGCCGCCAUUAGUUCACAGUUCAGAAUUUCAGUUUCAGAGAUUGCAAUUGCAACUAUUCUACCACUGAAAUGUGUGGUCUUUGUGAAACAAUGUUGAGUUCUUUUCUUUUUUCAUAAAUUCAA
rnacentral:lncRNA from 1 species